UACGUAGGGUGCAAGCGUUGUCCGGAAUUAUUGGGCGUAAAGAGCUCGUAGGCGGUCUGUCGCGUCUGCUGUGAAAACUCGGGGCUUAACCCCGGGCCUGCAGUGGGUACGGGCAGACUAGAGUGCGGUAGGGGAGACUGGAAUUCCUGGUGUAGCGGUGAAAUGCGCAGAUAUCAGGAGGAACACCGGUGGCGAAGGCAGCUCGCUGGGACGUUACUGACGCUGAGACGCGAAAGCGUGGGGAGCAAACAGG
rnacentral:rRNA from 1 species